GACGUAGGGCGCGAGCGUUGUCCGGAUUUAUUGGGCGUAAAGAGCUCGUAGGCGGCUUGUCGCGUCGAAUGUGAAAUCUCAGGGCUCAACUCUGACAUUGCAUUCGAUACGGGCAGGCUAGAGUUCGGUAGGGGAGACUGGAAUUCCUGGCGUAGCGGUGAAAUGCGCAGAUAUCAGGAGGAACACCGAUGGCGAAGGCAGGUCUCUGGGCCGAUACUGACGCUGAGGAGCGAAAGCGUGGGGAGCGAACAGG
rnacentral:rRNA from 1 species